AACGAACGCUGGCGGCAGGCUUAACACAUGCAAGUCGAACGCCCCGCAAGGGGAGUGGCAGACGGGUGAGUAACGCGUGGGAAUCUACCGUGCCCUACGGAACAACAGUUGGAAACGACUGCUAAUACCGUAUACGCCCUACGGGGGAAAGAUUUAUCGGGGUAUGAUGAGCCCGCGUUGGAUUAGCUAGUUGGUGGGGUAAAGGCCUACCAAGGCGACGAUCCAUAGCUGGUCUGAGAGGAUGAUCAGCCACAUUGGGACUGAGACACGGCCCAAUCUCCUACGGGAGGCAGCAGUGGGGAAUAUUGGACAAUGGGCGCAAGCCUGAUCCAGCCAUGCCGCGUGAGUGAUGAAGGUCUUAGGAUUGUAAAGCUCUUUCACCGACGAAGAUAAUGACGGUAGUCGAAGAAGAAGCCCCGGCUAACUUCGUGCCAGCCGCCGCCGUAA
rnacentral:rRNA from 1 species